rnacentral:misc_RNA from 1 species
GCAAACUUGGUCAUUUAGAGGAAGUAAAAGUCGUAACAAGGUCUCCGUUGGUGAACCAGCGGAGGGAUCAUUAGAGAGUCUAAACAACUCCCAAACCCACUGUGAACAUACCCCACGUUGCCUCGGCAGGCGCCCGGCUCCGCGACCCCUCGGGGCUGCGGGGUGGCCCUGCCGGCGGCCCACGAAACUCUUGUCUAGCACUGAAUUCUGAGCCCGAGAGGGAUAAAAACAAAAUUAGUUAAAACUUUCAACAACGGAUCUCUUGGUUCUGGCAUCGAUGAAGAACGCAGC